GUCGUCGUGAGGCGGGGUGGGGAGUAACCGAAAGCGAACUGUCGGUCCGUAGGUUAACGAACCUGUUUCGGCGGGGUAUGGCGGCGAGCCUGCACUAAAGUGGCGAAGCCUGGAAGUAACACAGCACGCUGUCGUGGCGGACAAAGCGGUGCGGUGGCGUACCACGUGUUUGAGGACGGAACGAUGGGAUGGUGGCACGA
rnacentral:ncRNA from 1 species